UGUCCAGAGACUUUGAUCCGUGAUUGAGUGACACUCCCCAGCUGGUUUGAUGUGCCAAAAGAGGUUGGUGAGACAGAGGAGGAGGUAAAGCGAAGGGUUCAUCAGGGACUUGCCGUCAAUUCGUCAGGAGGGGGGUACGGUGGCCUAGUACAUAGUAUUCUUUCUCCAUUGGGAUCGAGGUCCUUAACCUCUUCCACCAACCCCUUGCCGGCUCUGGGCCGCUUCCAUUCCAUUGGCUCGCUCCUAUCCUCCUCCCGGCCCUAUAAAUGGCCGCCCAUCAUCCCUUCUCCUCUUCCCCCCUUCCCUCAACAUCCCAUCUCUCUUAUCUUGAAUCUUGAAUUCCUAGGUUGGGCAGGCACCCCUCUUCUUGGAUUGGGUCCCCGUCAUCUCUCUCUGUUUUCUCCUUUUCCGGAUCUCACCGGGGAUAAUUACAUGCGUACCGCAUGACAUGGCCCUCUUUGUGAUCUUCCACAGCUUUCUUGAACUGCUGCGUGAAUUCGAAGCGGCAGAUCUUCGAGAACAGAUAGAUUGCUUGGCUUCGGUCGGAGAUCUAUCGUGCAGUUCAAUAAAGCUGUGGGAAAUUGCAGAGAGAGACCAACUGAUCAGUUCUACAAAGGAGAUUAAUUGUGUCCGGGCAGCUUAUGUUGGAUCUACAUCUCUGCACGGUAUUUAUAUACAUAUAGCGCCACAAGGGAGGAUUAUUCUGCAUCAUAGAACAAGUUCGAGUUCUUGGACUAUCUACGUGUCUCUUUGCAUACGAGUCAAUCUGCUCGGUAGUACUACGGAUGGUGCUGCAUCACGUCACCCGGAAGUUUCAAACAGAUCGAUCAAGAAGGCCAUCAAACCUCAAGCUCCACGAACAAGUUCAUUGACAUCAACUACACGGUGAUUGACUACAUGAUGAUUGGCUAGUAGGAAUGGUAUCUGACUCAAGUCUGAAGGUACUACAAUUCGUAUUCCAGAUAAAGCCAGCACGUCAGCAUUUUUGUCGUGUGGCCUUCAACAGCAUGCCACGUUAUAUAUGUCUCUCCAUAUGACCCCGGCUAUGAUUGAUGCAUAAAGGAGAAAUUAACAUAGCACAAAGAAUCCAGCUAUGUUUUAACAGGUACAAAUUAAAUUAAGAUUUACCAAAAAGAUAUGGCAAGUUAAUUAAUAGCUGAAAAUACAGUGUACUAUCACUAUCAGCAUUGAGAUGAUAAGAAACAUUCCUAGGAUGUAAUGGAGUUUUGUUAUGAGAAGUUCAAGGAGCAGCUGGUAUUGAUUAAUAUCCUUACCAUCGAGCCAAACACGCUUUUUGUA